UUUUUUUUUUUUUUUUUUUUUUUCUAAAUAGGAAGAAUGAGGCUCAGAGAGUGACGCCUUGUUCAGAGUGUGCCACAAGCAGGUAAAAUUAGGGUCUCUCAGCUCCCCAGUCUCACUAUUACCCCAAGUUGCCUCUAUCUGCAUUUCCUCUUGAUACUGUUCUUAGCUGUGAAAUAUCCAGCUCUCUCUGAUUCGGAAAUUACUAUAACUAAUAAUGUUUUAUGAUGAACAGAUUUCAUGCUUUUUCAUUAUGUUUUGUUUGACUUUUAGAGUCUGGAGUAUAACUCAUCCAUAAGUGGAGGAUAAAAUAAUCAAAGAAGUGAAAAAUAAUGAGAUUCCAUUUUAUGACGAUAACAAAUUCAAAACCAGACAGACCAUAUUUCUGCUUUUGGUUUUCAGUGGUAUUAUCAAAACCUCCAUCUGUACAGCACAUUUAAGAGCCCAUUACAAGUUGUGUUAUAUAUUAGACUUCACAUUGCCUAGGUGGCAAAAGAUGGACAAUUUUUUUGUGAUGCAUGUGUUGGAGAAAGCUGUGAUUUUUGUGGGUGUUUUUUCCCACUUGUCAAAAGAAUAUCCCCAAAUUAAAUAUUUUUGUUAUGUGUCACCAAACUAUGUGUCAGUUUGUAGUAGAACAUUUUGUUUUACAUCUUAUAUAGUCCUGAUUUUAGAUAAACAUAAACUAAAAUCAGGUUCUUUAUCAUAGUGUAUACUGCUUUACUGCUCAAAUUGUUAUUGCUAGAGAAUUGAACAAUUGCAUUGCACUGUAACUGCACACAUGUUUUUGGUUUUUCAUAUUUCUGACAGGUUAUUUAUGUGGGAAAGUUAGUGGUAUUCAGGAUAUUAAACACAUGACUGUUGAUCAUUAAUUAUAGAUAUGGGAAAAGACAGCAAUAAGCAAAAAUAGGGCACUUAUCUCAUUUUUAUCUGGGUAUAGCAGACAUGUGUCUCCAUAUGAUGUAUAUCUUUGUAAGCAGUUGAUGGUAUAUAUUACCAAUCUACUUUUGUGUUACUUGAUGUAUUAUUUAUUUCUCUUCUGUGUGGAAAGAGCCAAUUGAGGAUAAUAAAAAUCCUUAAAGAAGGCAGAUUCUACAAGUAUGAUCAAGAGUGAAAUGACCUUCAAAACCCAGAUAGGACAAAAUUCAACAAAAACCUAAGAAAAACCUAUGGUUACGGUGGCAACAUCCCAGAAUCAGUCAUCAUCCCUCUUUUCCAACUCUAAGUUGUUAUUGAGAGAGACCAGCCCCCCAAAUAUUAAGGUUUCAGAGGCUUUUGUAGCCUUUGCCGAUGUUUAGCCACUGUUUUUUGUGACUUUGUUGAAAUAGAAUUCACAUAUCAGAUAAUUCACUCAUUAAAGGGUACAACUCAAUAGUUUAUGGUACUUACAGAGUAGUAUGGUAUCGCCAUAAUUUUCAAUCAUUUUUAUCACCUAACAAUGGAACCUGUCCCAUUUCAAAUCUACUUUUAUCUCAAGAGAUUUGCCUAUUUGGGGCAUUUCAUGUAAAUGAAAUAAUGUAAUACAUGUUUUUUUGUGACUGACUUCUUUCACUUAGCAUAAUUUUUUUCAUGUUUCUUGUGGUAGCAUGAAUCAGUUAUGUCAUUCCUUUUUAUAGCCAAAUAAUACUCCAUUAUAUGGAUAUACCAGAUUUUGGUUAUCUAAUCCAUUGUUUGUCCACCAUUCAAAAUGUGUCAUUUCCAACUUUUAGCUAUUAUAAGUAAUGCUACUAUAAACAUUCAUGUACAAAUUUCUAUGCAAACUUACAUUUCCACUUCUCUUGAGUAUUUAUAUAUACCUAGAAUUGGAAAAAAUUUUCCACUUUUUAAUUUUUUGUAAAAUUUAUUUUUAUAUCUAACCAGAUUCUCUUACUGUCAGAUUAUUUUGUUUUGACCUCUAGAAGACGGCUAGAUGGUUGACACUAAAGUUAUAGAAAAGAUUAUUUAACUCUUUUGCAUAUUAAACAAGUUGACACUAAAGUUAUAGAAAAGAUUAUUUAACUCUUUUGCAUAUUAAACAAGUUGAAAUCAGAGGGUUUUUUUUUUCUUUCUUUCUUUCUUUUUUUUGUCUUUUUAGGGCCACACCCGAGGCAUAUGAAGGUUCCCAGGCUAGGGGUUGAAUUGGAGCUCCAGAUGCCAGCCUAUACCACAGCCACAGCAACACAGGAUCUGAGCCGUGUCUGUGACCUAUUCCACAGCUCACAGCAACACCAGAUCCCCAACCCACUGAGAAAGGCCAGGGAUGGAACCCGCAUCCUCAUGGAUACUAGUUGGGUUCAUUAAUCACUGCACCACGACAGGAACUCCUUUCAUUCACAAUUCUUAUCCAAUUGUUUCAAUGGUUCACUUCAACAUAGAUACCCACAACAGUGAGCAUGAAAAUCUAAAGAGUAAAAGCUCAAAUAUCUGCCAGUAGUUGGAUACUUAAAUAGUUUAUACAUUAAAGUAACUUAUACAUUAAAUAAAUAAAAGAGUAAUUUCAAAGAUGUUUUCAUCAUGAUCUAAAAUAAGAAGUGUGUCAUAUGUCAAAACCCAGUUAUCACUCAUUAAAAAUUUUUCAAGCAGGGAUUCAUAUUCUUUGCAGAUUUCAGGACCCAUAGGUCUCUAACCACAACCUUUAAAACCUUAGCACAGAGUAUCUGCAGUGAGGCAGACUAUUUUUUUUUAUCACAGACUAAUCUGCAAAUUACUCCUCUUUUCUUGAAAAUAGCCAGGAACUGCGAAAAUCUUUCCCAUUACCAUAGGGCUGUGAGGCAGCUGAGUAGAAGAUAGCAGGCAGAUUGGAGAAACAGCAGUUUAUAGAGGCUACAGCUAGCAUUUCCAGAGCUAAAGGGGCUCCCAGCAAAGAGCAUACAGAGAGACACAGAGCCACAGGGCCACCCAAAUGGAGAGUUCUGGAGUAAAGAAAAACAAAUCAUCAGCGAUUUCUAAAGCAUGUUGAAGGAAAGAAAAUCCCUUUAGACAUUAGCUAAGACUCUAUUUUCAAACUGGUGCAAACUUGAAAACAAAGAAUUGUAAAAUAAUCUGCAAUUCAUGGUAAACUGCAAAUUUAGAAGCAAAGAAUUGCAGGAUAAUCUGCAAUUAAUGGUAAAGGCCUUGAUAAAAGGACAUGACCUUCAACUGUGGAUCAGUGGGGGCUGAUCAUAAGAGAAAUGAUCCAUGAUCAAAGAUAAAAGUAUAGUGUUGAUAUUAUUCCUGAUGAGAAAUAUUUCUAUUGGGUAUGUUUCUUUAAAAGUUUCCAUAAUUUCCACAGAGAAUAGUAUUUUACCCUUGCCAUAUACAUGUUACCUGUAGCUUGUUGUAGACUCAAAUCAGAUUUAACUCUUCACUAUAAUUCUCAGCCCAUAGUUAUCACUUAUCUUUCUCAGUUUUUCUGUUGCCUUUACAAAAACCUGGAU
rnacentral:lncRNA from 1 species